CCGGGAAUGGAACUGUGACCUGGAUCAUAGGUCCAUGCUCAACCACUGAGCCACACUGGUCAGGCAAUAUUCUAGUUUCCUUAGGUUUCUAUAGGAUAUAUUUCUGUAGGUAGAAUUGCUGAUUUAAAGGAAUUCAAAUUUAAGACAUUGAUGAAUCCUACCAAAGUACUUUCUGCAAGGAACAGUUAAACUAUGAACAAGGUGACGACAAGUGUGCCUUUGUCCCAUGUCUUAGCCGAGAUUGGCUAUCUAUACUAUUUGCAGGCAGAAGGGAGCUUAUAUUUUCUUUUGCUUUUUGCCCCCUCAAAUGGAGAAAGAACCUUUGCUUGAAAUUAUGUGGAUUUGAAUGCAGACUUAAUUAUGUGUGGGUACCUGGGCCUCCCUGGGCUCAAUUGCAUCAUCUGUGAAAUAGGUAUAAUAUAAAAAAAAAAAAUGACAUGAAGCUUGGUGAUCUGGAUUCCAUGAAUAAUUUACGUUUACAUUUGUAAUCUGUCUUCCUUCAGUGGGGCCCUUGAGGACUUUGGAAUGGCGGAACAAAUUAACAUGAAUUUCUGUAAAAAAAAUGUCCUCCUUCACCCUCCUCACAGAAAUACCUCCCAUCAAGACCUCAUGUGCAGACACACACAUCCACCAUAAGUAAUACGAGUUGUAGAGAGCCGUUCUCUUACCCGUAUCUGGUGCACUGGAUCCUAAGUCCUGCCAUCCGCUUACCUCUGUUUACAUUUAAAACAUUACAGUAUGCUAUGCUGUAUGUGAACUACUGCACUGCUUCCACAACCAGUUUGGAAACCUGGCUCUCUGGAAGGCAGCUCCCUGCCCUUUGUAGGUACUUGGACAUUUCUUGAAUGAGUGAGUAGAUAAAAGGUGACUUGAAGAAAUUUUCUAGGUUUUCAUGAAGAGUCCCUAUUUUUCCUCUUGGGCCCUAACAGUCUCAAGAGCGGGACUUUGGGGUCGGUGCGAUGUAGGUGAGCCACUGCCUUGGAUCUGUGUCGAGAUGAUGAAGCCCAGUUGAUGGCUGGCACAUGGUAAGCACUUACACGUUAGCCAUUAAAUGUGGUCACCUCACUGGCUGGCUGGAUAAAAUUUCCUUAGACUGAGGGGAGCUCUCCUGGGAUCCACGCUAGUCAGUUCCCAUUUCCUUUCCCCUCCAGUUCUGUGGUUCUCAACCUGCCUGCACAGGAUCAGCCGUGCUCAGAAUGUGCUCAGACAACUAACUGGGACUCUGUCAGAUGGGCCCAGGAACCAGUCUUUUUCCAGCUCCUCCGGUAGAGAACCAGCAUCCAAGGAUCUCCAGGGCAUUCUGCGGAGAAUUCCAAGGGGAAUGUUAUUUUAGCUCUUUACAGAUUGUUCCUGGACAGAUGGCCCAUGGGUCUGGACUUCCUGGCGCCCUGAGGCUGAGGGCAGCUGGAGCUGCUGAGGCCUACACCUUUCCCGUUAUGCUGCCUGCUCAUCCACCUUUAGUUCCUCAGGCUUUGAGGAAGUCUGGACAUGACCAGGGCUUGGGGCAGUGGGCAGGUGGAAGUUCACACCCACAAGGGCCCCAGGGUGAGGUGAAUCCUGGCUCACCAGGAGGGGUCUCUCCACCUGGGGGGCUGUCUCCCGUGGUGUAAAGGGUUACAAUAGAGAUCUUGGACUCCCCAUUUACACUAAAUCCAAAGGUCUGGCGUGGGGACGGUAUCUUUAAAAAAAGGCUAAUUUAAGAAAAUGGAUCCUAAGUCCUACCAUCCGCUUACCUCUGUUUACAUUUAAAACAUUACACUUUGGGGAAAAUUGUACAGAAAGGUUCAAGGUGGAGUCUUCCUGAGCAGUCUGCUUGUGGAUGUCAUCGUGUGUGCAGGUGAGCCUGAGUUGUGUGGCCUGCCGCCAUGAGGGAAGCAGGCCAAUGCCAAGGUUGGUGACCACAGCAGGAAGUAGGAAGAACCUUGUUCCUCAAGCAUGCUGGCUCCACUUGGAAUCCUGUUAAAAGAGCAAUUCCCAAAAUCAGGGUGGGGCGCACUCAUCCACAUCCCUACAGACUCCACAUCUCCCUACCUUGUCAAGAAUUAGUGAACUUAACUACUUACAUGGACCUAUGUUUUCCUGAAACCUACAAAAAAGGUCAUGUACAUUCUUAAACUGCACUUUUGUUUUCAGUUAAAGUUGGGUGGAGCUCUUCCCCUUACCAGCCUAUACCGAUCUGCAUCUUUUACUAUGUAUGAAUAUUCAUGAGCAAGGAAUAAAGUUCCUGGGAGCUCA